AGUUCUUUGGAAUUUUCCCAUGCUGUGUAAUUUGACUCAUAACACUCUGAUUGUUGGAUUAAGUAACCAGAGUGUUAUGAGUCAAAUUACACAGCGUGGGGGCUUGGGAGGGGGGACCCUUUUUUUUAAUUUAUUUUUUAUUU